ensembl:lncRNA
CUCCUCUCUUUCAGGACAGGAGAAAUCAUUAAGCUCCUCCCAUCUUUGCCAGAAGCUUCAGUGUUUAAGCAGCCAAAGCCAAGAGGCUUCAGCACCAGGGGUGUGCACUGGAGGGCUCCUGGUCCUGCCCACGCCAUGGGGGAGCCAGGGCUGGCACAAGGACUCGUGCAGGUGCCGCUCUGGCACGGGAGCCGUUGCCCUGUGGAGCCAUUUUAAAGGUGUGAUUAUGGAACAUUUUGGAGGCCGUUUCUGGAAUUCCAUUUGUAGCUGGAUCUCGCUCCGAGUGCAGCGGUCCAGGUGAGGGUUCUGACCUCUCCAGACUUGUGCUCACCUUGGUACAGCCUGUGGCUGAAGCAGUUUUCCAGGGAAGUGGAGAUGGCUGAGGACCGGCGCUCUGGGAAGCAGGGACCUGCUGGGAUUUGCAUUUGCAA